rnacentral:piRNA from 1 species
UAAUAUCCUGGUUACUUCUCGUGCCU